rnacentral:rRNA from 1 species
AUGGCGACCGGCGCACGGGUGAGUAACACGUAUCCAACCUGCCGAUAACUCGGGGAUAGCCUUGCGAAAGAAAGAUUAAUACCCGAUGGUAUAAUCAGACCGCAUGGUUUGAUUAUUAAAGAAUUUCGGUUAUCGAUGGGGAUGCGUUCCAUUAGGCAGUUGGUGAGGUAACGGCUCACCAAACCUUCGAUGGAUAGGGGUUCUGAGAGGAAGGUCCCCCACAUUGGAACUGAGACACGGUCCAA